UCAAAUACAGUCUGGGUCUUCUAAAAGGUUUUAUCUUCUAAAAAGGUUGUAUCUGUUCUGUUUGGCUGCAGAAGGUUUGGAAAUUCUUACCUCUCACUGAUGGAGAAAAUGACUGCUGCUGCCCAUUUCUGUCUUGGAAGAAGAGAGGACUGUUGUAGCAGCAAAGCAAG